GGAAUUUUCCGCAAUGGGCGAAAGCCUGACGGAGCGACGCCGUGUGUGGGAUGAAGGCCUUCGGGUUGUAAACCGCUGUCAGAGGGGAGUAAGUGAAGGGGGUUAUCCUCAGAGGAAGGACGGGCUAAGUUCGUGCCAGCAGCCGCGGUAAGACGAACCGUCCAAACGUUAUUCGGAAUCACUGGGCUUAAAGGGUGCGUAGGCGGCUCUGCAAGUUGGGUGUGAAAGCCCUCGGCUCAACCGAGGAAUUGCGCUCAAAACUGCAGGGCUUGAGGGAGAUAGAGGUGAGCGGAACUUAUGGUGGAGCGGUGAAAUGCGUUGAUAUCAUAAGGAACACCGGUGGCGAAAGCGGCUCACUGGGUCUCUUCUGACGCUGAGGCACGAAAGCUAGGGUAGCGAACGGGAUUAGAUACCCCAGUAGUC
rnacentral:rRNA from 1 species